GACGAACGCUGGCGGCGUGCUUAACACAUGCAAGUCGAACGGAAAGGCCCUGCUUUUGUGGGGUGCUCGAGUGGCGAACGGGUGAGUAACACGUGAGUAACCUGCCCUUGACUUUGGGAUAACUCCAGGAAACUGGGGCUAAUACCGGAUAGGAGCUCCUGCUGCAUGGUGGGGGUUGGAAAGUUUCGGCGGUUGGGGAUGGAUUCGCGGCUAAUCAGCUUGUUGGUGGGGUAGUGGCUUACCAAGGCUUUGACGGGUAGCCGGCCUGAGAGGGUGACCGGCCACAUUGGGACUGAGAUACGGCCCAGACUCCUACGGGAGACAGCAGUGGGGAAUAUUGCACAAUGAGCGGAAGCCUGAUGCAGCAACGCCGCGUGCGGGAUGACGGCCUUCGGGUUGUAAACCGCUUUCACCUGUGACGAAGCGUGAAUGACGGUAAUGGGUGAAGAAGCACCGGCUAACUACGUG
rnacentral:rRNA from 1 species